rnacentral:rRNA from 1 species
GACGAACGCUGGCGGCGUGCCUAAUACAUGCAAGUCGAGCGAAGUUUUUCUGCUUCUUGCACUAGAAAAACUUAGCGGCGAACGGGUGAGUAACACGUAAAGAACCUGCCUCAUAGACUGGGACAACUAUUGGAAACGAUAGCUAAUACCGGAUAACAGUAUUUCUCGCAUGAGAUAGAUUUAAAAGAUGGUUAUGCUAACACUAUGAGAUGGCUUUGCGGUGCAUUAGCUAGUUGGUGGGGUAAAGGCCCACCAAGGCGACGAUGCAUAGCCGACCUGAGAGGGUGAUCGGCCACACUGGAACUGAGACACGGCCCAGACUCCUACGGGAGGCAGCAGUAGGGAAUAUUCCGCAAUGGGCGAAAGCCUGACGGAGCAACGCCGCGUGAGUGAAGAAGGACUUCGGUUCGUAAAGCUCUGUUGUUAGGGAAGAAUGGAUAUGUGGUAACUACACAUGUAAGAGACGGUACCUAAACAGAAAGCCACGGCUAACUACGUG